rnacentral:rRNA from 1 species
UUUUUUAUGGGGGAAAACUCUUCCCUGGCUUUACAUCACCGGGAAACACCCGGAGAAAGGGGGGUCCCUUGGGGGCAGUUGACACAGGGUGCAUGCUUGUUUGUAGCUAGUGUGUUGAGAGAUUUGGUUAAAUACCCCAACGAGCGCACCCCCCCUUCCUUUUUGCCAGCGCCUUAUGGUGGGGAAUUAUAGGGGGCUGCCGGGGUAAAAUCGGAGGAAAGUGGGGAAGAAGUCAAAUUCUCCUGGCCCUUUAGUCCUGGGGUUCACCCAUGCUUCAAUGGCCGGUACAAAGGGGUGCCAAACCGGGAGGGGGAGCCAAUCCCAAAAAACCGGUUUCAGUUCGGAUUGGAGUUUGCAACUUGGAUCCCUGAAGUCGGAAUCGGUUGUUAUUCCA